rnacentral:rRNA from 1 species
GUGGGGAAUCUUGCGCAAUGGGCGAAAGCCUGACGCAGCCAUGCCGCGUGAAUGAUGAAGGUCUUAGGAUUGUAAAAUUCUUUCACCGGGGACGAUAAUGACGGUACCCGGAGAAGAAGCUCCGGCUAACUUCGUGCCAGCAGCCUCGGUAAUACGAAGGGGGCUAGCGUUGCUCGGAAUUACUGGGCGUAAAGGGCGCGUAGGCGGACAGCUUAGUCAGAGGUGAAAGCCCAGGGCUCAACCUUGGAAUUGCCUUUGAUACUGGCUGUCUUGAGUUUGGGAGAGGUGAGUGGAACUCCGAGUGUAGAGGUGAAAUUCGUAGAUAUUCGGAAGAACACCAGUGGCGAAGGCGACUCACUGGCCCAAUACUGACGCUGAGGCGCGAAAGCGUGGGGAGCAAACAGGAUUAGAAACCCUGGUAGUCC